rnacentral:rRNA from 1 species
AGUGUAGAUUCAGAGUUUGAUCCUGGCUCAGAGCGAAACGCUGGCGGCAGGCUUAACACAUGCAAGUCGACCGGGCACUUCGGUGCUAGUGGCAGACGGGUGAGUAACACGUGGGAACGUACCUUUCGGUUCGGAAUAAUUCAGGGAAACUUGGACUAAUACCGGAUACGCCCUUCGGGGGGAAAGAUUUUAUCGCCGUAUAGAUCGGCCCGCGUCUGAUUAGCUAGUUGGUGAGGUAAUGGCUCACCAAGGCGACGAUCAGUAGCUGGUCUGAGAGGAUGAUCAGCCACAUUGGGACUGAGACACGGCCCAA